GAGUUUGAUCCUGGCUCAGAUUGAACGCUGGCGGCAUGCCUUACACAUGCAAGUCGAACGGCAGCACGGGAGCUUGCUCCUGGUGGCGAGUGGCGAACGGGUGAGUAAUGCAUCGGAACGUAUCCUGGAGUGGGGGAUAACGUAGCGAAAGUUACGCUAAUACCGCAUAUUCUGUGAGCAGGAAAGCGGGGGACCUUCGGGCCUCGCGCUCUUGGAGCGGCCGAUGUCGGAUUAGCUAGUUGGUGAGGUAAAGGCUCACCAAGGCGACGAUCCGUAGCAGGUCUGAGAGGAUGAUCUGCCACACUGGAACUGAGACACGGUCAGACUCCUACGGGAGGCAGCAGUGGGGAAUUUUGGACAAUGGGGGCAACCCUGAUCCAGCCAUGCCGCGUGAGUGAAGAA
rnacentral:rRNA from 1 species